rnacentral:rRNA from 1 species
CACCUGAAGAACAAUGUCACUCAUUAGAGAUGUUUCACUAAACCGGAAUCACCCUCGACUUGACCCUUUACAUGGAUUGACGUAAAAUUAGUCUCUUAACGAACAGACCGUUUUGUAGUCAAAAUAUCUCCUACGCCUGAUGUAUCAUGGACGUAUAAACGAGACGGUAACACAUAGGAGAACUGUCCUCACCAUAACCUCGAUCGGAAAACUAUAUAUUAUUUCGUUUUUGUUCGUACAUCAUCUAUUUCAAAAUUCUUCUUAUAAAAAAAUGACAAGAGCAUAGGAGGGAUCGACAUAUGAAAACUCUUUGCUGUUUAGACUAUAAAACAUGUACACGGAAAAGCUCUUACAAAAGACUGAAACAUCUUUGAAGUGAAAAGUAUCCUCGUACACGUUACUCCGCCGCUUUUUAUACGUCAUCCCUCCUUAUACGUCCGAAGAUCAUGAUCCCGUCUCGUAUUCGUAUCGGAUGCUAAAGGGCACACUCUUUUCGAACUAGUCCACCGACUACUUGGACAGAGGACUUUAUCGAAGUAGAUCGGACUAUGUCGGGGUUUGAAGAUUAGAAUCUGUCCCUGUUCUUACCGUAUAUCUAGUAUAUAAAAUCGUCUCGACGGGGGGUGUAGCAGGUAGGGUUAGUAAUAUUUUACGUUCCCUCUUACCAUAUACUAAGAGCGACAUAUAUCACCCAACCGUGGGUCUUUUUGGUCUACGUCUGGAAACGUAGUGAGACCAUAGCUUAAUGGUGUUAAAUUAACUCCAGUUAAAUACGAACACAAUAAAAUCGUGGCAAUUUAAAGGUGGCAGCUCUUCCCUAGUUGACCCAGGGUAAAGACUUUCGUUAAUCCGUAUACAUGUUUCCAAGGUUGGAAACGAGGUUCGUUUGGAUCUCAUCUUCAACCAAUACUCUUUCGAGUGGUAUUUAUUUAUAUUUUCUAACGGCAACAGAACAAAGUCGUUUUUUAUAAAGAUAACAGUUUGUUACAUUCCACUGACUCAAAGCGUAAACUACUGUUUUGUGUGAGUUCGAAAUCUAAGUAAGGUCGUUCUAGAAAAUUGGUAAACGCGGUCACUUUCAUUCUUCUCUUGGUAUACUACAGAUAUUCUGAACUUUAUGAGACGAAAUAUAUUCGUGAAUACAACGAUGUCUCAUGAAUCCAGAGUCCUUAUACAUGGAAGUACUUCUCACGUGGUGCAAAUACGACGUUCGACGGAACGUAAAGUCGGCUAUACCAAGGGAUUAGCUACGACUAACCCAUAGCCGAGAACUAUCCAUGAGGACCGUUUUAUCAGUGAGAAGGAACCGAGACAUAGGACUAACAUAGGACUUUGUUCAACGCCAUAUGUUAAGAAAGGCGUGACUUUAAGGUGGUCGUCUUUACCAAAGACUUUCAGGUACCUAAUCACUAUGAACUCGUACGUUCAGCACGGUUAAGCACCCGUCUUCUUUCGUCACCCGUAAUUAUGAGGUACGUUGUUCGUCCCUUUAAGAACCAACCGACAUUUUACCCUAGUUUCCCUCUCCUUUGUUGUAAACUAAUAAAAACAAGGGAGAGGUGACAGUUUCUACGUAGAAUAGUUGGAAACGUACUUUACCAAGGUCUAAGAGAACAGUACUGUCGACGUCACUCGUGCCACACUUUUUUGGCGUGACAGCACACUAGUUACGUCUAAGGUCCCUAACAAGCUGUAUAUAAGGGAAGAAGUCACGAAGUCCGGAGGUGAUAUUUAUGUCGGUUUACCCCUACACCUGAAGUAUGUGAAGGAAUGCAGAUUCUAGUAUGUUUGAUUUCGUAGUGGAUCACGAGAACAACGUCUCUGUUGUCUUCGGUACUCGAUAAUACCUUCGUCGAGAAGACCACCGUCCCCACCGGCAGCUCAGCUCAUACCCUCCUCGAUACACCACUCCGGUUUCCCUGCCGUGGAUCGGUGGUAACACACCGAGGUACCGGAUCCACUGUUACCACGUUCGACCAGGGUCGAGGACCUACGAGAAGGGAACGGGUUAUAGUUCACCUAUACGGGGUGGCGUCGCUGGGCCGGGCAGCGCCGAAAACCGCCGAAGGGGACGUGACGUACCAAACUGCAACUACUGUGAAGCCAGCUACCAGCGCUGCUGUAGCUCCCCGACCUACGAAGUCGACGUGUGUAUCGCUUGGAUGACAGGAGGCUCGGAAGACUACACUUCGAACCCUAGCCGCCAAAGUCGUACCCACGUCGUCGACGGGACGUGAGCCGUCGUACGAUGCGAGUACCGUUCAAGUCGUCGCCGUGGGGGAUGGGCUAGUGAGAGUCGCGUCAGUAGUCGAACUCGCCGACCGAGGGAACGAGUUCCUGUGACUCCCCGUUCUACCUCCCGAGUGUGUACCGUCGUUCUUCUCGGCGGAGGGACGGGUAGGACGAGUCGGUACCGUCUCGCCUGCUCCAGCACGGGAUGUCCUUGCCCCUCGCCAGCUGGCUCAAGGACGCCAGGAGCCCCAAGAGCAUAGACUGAAAGUUCAGGAUGUUGCCCAACCCGGUGAUGUGGUAGGGGCUUCUCUACCUGCUGCAGACGUCCACCGAGUCGAGUGCCGAGUCGCAGCUGGCUAGAGCAAUUUCUCUUGUCGCGAAGACAGUAAGACGCACACGCGCGCUGCGCCACCGAAGGGAUCAUCGUAUAUCGUCACAUUUGAAUGAUAUCUCUCCACUUACGACCAAACCAUCGAACACUGUCGUGGUGUACGGGGACUAGAGAUGUCCGACGGUAACGACGAGAUUCGUUCGUUGGUACUCACGACACAUCAUUUGACCACUUCCACACUCUCGUAUAAAUAGUCUUAAUACAUUACAUUGGUCACGAACAAAACAUUACGUUUUUAUUGGUAGAUAUGUCUAGUAUGAUAAGUACGA